rnacentral:tRNA from 1 species
GGAGGAGUGGCCCAGCGGCUACGGCGUGCGCUUGGAAAGCGCAUGGGAGCAAUCCCUCGCAGGUUCGAGUCCUGUCUCCUCCGCCA